GAGUUCUCAGAGCCUGCCCGGAUCCAGAGUUUGGUAAAGAAUUACUCGCAAUUUGUUUCUUUCCCCAUCUACACGUGGCAAGAAAAGUCAAGGACUGUUGAGGUUGAAGAGGAGGAAGAACCAAAGGAAGGAGAAGAACCAAAGCCAGAGGGUGAGAAGAAAAAGAAGACUAUAACUGAGAAGUAUUGGGAUUGGGAAUUAGCCAAUGAAACAAAGCCUAUAUGGGUGAGUAAUGAGUUCCACAGUUGGUAUUGAUAGGACACAGAGGAAAUGGAAUGAACAUGUUGCAGUCCUCUGAUAUCAGAACGAGAGGAAUCAAAGAGAACUCAAUCCUCUCUUUCAAUAUUGCUGCACAAUUCCCAAUUGAUUUUGUUGAUUUCGACGUUCAGGUAAAAGUUGGCAUCAAACAUAAUAUGAAGAUAUUUAAAAGGCCACAGCAUGGAUCACUGACCAUUUAUCUUUUGCAAUCAACAAAGACGAUUCUAAUCUAGGAUGCUCCCUGUUAAUCUAGAAUGUUUUACAUUUUAGGACGGUGAUGAUAAAUUGUUGGUUUAAUUAAGUUGUUUUUAUACAGUAUUGUUGCUGGCAUAUUAAUUUACUUUUUGUAAUGUGAUAUUGCAGUUUGUUAUCUCUCUUUUCAUCUCAAUAAAUUGUAUAGA